GACGAACGCUGGCGGCGUGCUUAACACAUGCAAGUCGAACGGUGAAGCCCUUCGGGGUGGAUCAGUGGCGAACGGGUGAGUAACACGUGAGCAACCUGCCCCUGACUCUGGGAUAACUACCGGAAACGGUGGCUAAUACCGGAUAUUACCUUCCUGCGCAUGUGGGUUGGUGGAAAGUUUUUCGGUCGGGGAUGGGCUCGCGGCCUAUCAGCUUGUUGGUGGGGUGACGGCCUACCAAGGCGACGACGGGUAGCCGGCCUGAGAGGGCGACCGGCCACACUGGGACUGAGACACGGCCCAGACUCCUACGGGAGGCAGCAGUGGGGAAUAUUGCGCAAUGGGCGGAAGCCUGACGCAGCGACGCCGCGUGGGGGAUGAAGGCCUUCGGGUUGUAAACCUCUUUCAGCAGGGAAGAAGCGUGAGUGACGGUACCUGCAGAAGAAGCACCGGCUAACUACGUGCCAGCAGCCGCGGUAA
rnacentral:rRNA from 1 species